UCAAAGAAAUAAGAAAAACAGAGAAGAGCAGAAAGGGACCGAAGGCAAGGGCUCAACAAAGGCUUCGAAGCCACUUCGCCUUCCUCCCAUUUUUUUUGCUUUCUUACUUUCUUUUGGUGUUGACGUUCACGGUAGAUUGAUACCGGACAAUCAACCGAGCAGGAAGGAAAGC
rnacentral:ribozyme from 1 species